AUCUGUGCCUAAAUACUCAGAAGGUGACAGAUCCCCUUCUGAUCUUAAAUGCUAAGCAGAGUCAGGCCUGACCAGUAUUUGGAUGGGAGACCACCAAUUAAUAGCAUGUUGGUUCAUUCC
rnacentral:rRNA from 11 species